AAUUCGAUUGAGUUUGAUCCUGGCUCAGGACGAACGCUGGCGGCGUGCUUAACACAUGCAAGUCGAGCGGUAAGGCUCCUCCGGGAGUACACGAGCGGCGAACGGGUGAGUAACACGUGAGCAAUCUGCCCUUCACUUUGGGAUAACUUCCGGAAACGGAAGCUAAUACCGAAUACGACCAUCACGGACAUCUGCGAUGGUGGAGAGUUCCGGCGGUGAAGGAUGAGCUCGCGGCCUAUCAGCUUGUUGGUGGGGUAACGGCCCACCAAGGCGACGACGGGUAGCCGGCCUGAGAGGGUGACCGGCCACACUGGGACUGAGACACGGCCCAGACUCCUACGGGAGGCAGCAGUGGGGAAUAUUGGACAAUGGGCGAAAGCCUGAUCCAGCAACGCCGCGUGAGGGAUGACGGCCUUCGGGUUGUAAACCUCUUUCACCCACGACGAAGCGAAAGUGACGGUAGUGGGAGAAGAAGCACCGGCCAACUACGUGCCAGCAGCCGCGGUAAUACGUAGGGUGCAAGCGUUGUCCGGAAUUAUUGGGCGUAAAGGGCUCGUAGGCGGUCCAUCGCGUCGGGAGUGAAAAGCUGGGGCUUAACCCCAGUCCUGCUUCCGAUACGGGUGGACUAGAGGUAGGCAGGGGAGAACGGAAUUCCUGGUGUAGCGGUGAAAUGCGCAGAUAUCAGGAGGAACACCGGUGGCGAAGGCGGUUCUCUGGGCCUUACCUGACGCUGAGGAGCGAAAGCGUGGGGAGCAAACAGGAUUA
rnacentral:rRNA from 1 species